AAAGCACACAGAGUUCACUGAAUGGCAGGAACUGAGUCAAGAGAAACAGCUCAAGCUAGAAGUCCAUAACUGAACAUAGUAGAGACUACAAGAGUGAGGGGAUCACAACUUGCAAGACUAGUAGACAACUUUCAGCCUGGUUUUCUCACAGCUGCAAAAGAAAAGCUGUCUGUGGAGUCUACACAGUACAGCUUUGCUGAGGCAAGUCUUAACCCUCUGACAUGUC